CUUUCCUCUGAGACAUAGUAGUUUGCAAAUUGUUUCCCCAAUUAGAAUGUGAGCACCCUGAAGGUUACAAGAUCUGAAUGGUGGAGAUAACCAGAACAAAAGCAUUCUAGGACACAGUGAAAGGCAGAAUAAACUUUAAUCUGGGAGAAUUAAAAAAAUGCUUCAUAGAAGAGUUACCUGAGUGGAGCCAUGGAGGGAGAGGAUUCUGACAGACCAUGUUCCACAUUUUACUUUAACAAGGACACAAACGCUUGGCAAGCCAGUGAAGAGUACGAUAUUGCUCUAUCAGUGAAAUUCAGAGAAUUUACAUCCAAAGGAUUGCAUUCAAAGGGAUUUGUCACUAAUACCAUUUUGUAUG